GUAUGGUAGGUGACAGAGGAGAGUGAGCACUCAUGGUUCUUUUCUUGCAUGAAGUUUCUAUGCUUGAAGCUCUGUGUGCUUACUCCCUAUCUGUCACCCCUCAAGCAU
rnacentral:pre_miRNA from 1 species